rnacentral:rRNA from 1 species
CGUUCGAGUGGCGACGGGUGAGUAACGCGUGGGUAACCUGCCUUACACAGGGGGAUAACACCUGGAAACAGGUGCUAAUACCGCAUAAGCGCACAGGGCCGCAUGGCCCGGUGUGAAAAACUCCGGUGGUGUAAGAUGGACCCGCGUCUGAUUAGCUUGUUGGCGGGGUAGGGGCCCACCAAGGCGACGAUCAGUAGCCGGCCUGAGAGGGUGGACGGCCACAUUGGGACUGAGACACGGCCCAAACUCCUACGGGAGGCAGCAG